rnacentral:lncRNA from 1 species
GAUCCUGUCUCCAAACAAACCAACCAACAAAUCACAAUGAAUUUAAGAGUUUGGCAUUAUUAGUAUGAUUGUUUUCAGAUGAGAAAAGCUGAUGUGUAGAAGGGCUAGUAACUUCUUCAAAGUUACAGAGCUAGUAAGAGAUGGAGGAGCCAGGAUACAAAUGCAAGCGAUCUGAUUCCAGUACCCUGUGAUGUGUCUAUUACACUUUACUGUAUACAUGCAAGUCAGCUUAGAUGAGCCCCUUGAAACUCUUCUCCCCACUUCCGCUAGACCUGAUGAGUACACACAAAAGGGCUCCAAACUGAUGAUUCUCCACUGCUAUGGUCUGAAUGUUUGUUACCUCAAAAUUCAUAUGUUGAAACCUAAUCCCCAAGACGAUGGUAUCAAGUCAGGACUUUGGGAGGUGAUUAGGUCAUGAGGGUGACACCCUCAUGAAUGGGAUUAGUGCCCUUAUAAAAUAGUCCCCAGACAGUUGCCCUGCCCCUUCCACUGUAAGGACACAGUGAAAGUGCUAAUGAUGAACCAGAGCGUGAGCCCUCCACAGACACUGACUCUGCCAGUACCUUCAUCUUGGAGUUCCCAGUGUUCAGAACUGGGAGCAAUACAUUUCUGAUGUUUAUAAGCCACCAAAUCUAAGGUAUUUUGUUACAGCAGCCCAAAUGAACAGGACAACCUCUCUCCUUCAGCCAUUCCUUGUACCUUGUCCUAUAUUUCUAUAAACUCACCAAACUCUUUAUUUGCCAACUCAUUCUUAGGUUGAUAUUCUGUCUUUGGACAAGACAUGUGGUCUGGAUUUAUUGACUUUGACCUUCAGUUUUUCAACAAUGAUUCCUUCCUGGCUGCACUCCCUUGAGAUAUCUUGAGUGAUGAAUGUCCAGGCUCAAUUCAGCCCCUGGAAUUGUCCUAGCUGUUUUUUUCUCUCUCAUGAAUUUAUUUAUUCAAUGAGUCUUUAUUGAUAAAAUGAGCCAUAUGUUGUGCUAGGCAUUAGUGUUAUGAUACGGUUUGGCUGUGUCCCCACCCACAUCUCAUCUUGAAUUGUACUCCCAUAAUUCCCAUGUGUUGUGGGAGGGACCGGGUGGGAGAUAAUUUGAAUCAUGGGGGUGGUUUCCCCCAUACUGUUCUCAUGGUAGUGAAUAAGUCUCACGAGAUCUGAUGGUUUUAUCAGAAGAUGCUUUUGCAUCUUCCUCAUUUUUCUCUUGCCACAACCAUGUAAGAAGUGCCUUUCACCUCUCGCCAUGAUUCUGAGGCCUCCCCAG